GGCGGCAGGCCUAACACAUGCAAGUCGAGCGGAAACGAGUUAACUGAACCUUCGGGGAACGUUAACGGCGUCGAGCGGCGGACGGGUGAGUAAUGCCUAGGAAAUUGCCCUGAUGUGGGGGAUAACCAUUGGAAACGAUGGCUAAUACCGCAUGAUGCCUACGGGCCAAAGAGGGGGACCUUCGGGCCUCUCGCGUCAGGAUAUGCCUAGGUGGGAUUAGCUAGUUGGUGAGGUAAGGGCUCACCAAGGCGACGAUCCCUAGCUGGUCUGAGAGGAUGAUCAGCCACACUGGAACUGAGACACGGUCCAGACUCCUACGGGAGGCAGCAGUGGGGAAUAUUGCACAAUGGGCGCAAGCCUGAUGCAGCCAUGCCGCGUGUGUGAAGAAGGCCUUCGGGUUGUAAAGCACUUUCAGUCGUGAGGAAGGUAGUGUAGUUAAUAGCUGCAUUAUUUGACGUUAGCGACAGAAGAAGCACCGGCUAACUCCGUGCCAGCAGCCGCGGUAAUACGGAGGGUGCGAGCGUUAAUCGGAAUUACUGGGCGUAAAGCGCAUGCAGGUGGUUUGUUAAGUCAGAUGUGAAAGCCCGGGGCUCAACCUCGGAAUAGCAUUUGAAACUGGCAGACUAGAGUACUGUAGAGGGGGGUAGAAUUUCAGGUGUAGCGGUGAAAUGCGUAGAGAUCUGAAGGAAUACCGGUGGCGAAGGCGGCCCCCUGGACAGAUACUGACACUCAGAUGCGAAAGCGUGGGGAGCAAACAGGAUUAGA
rnacentral:rRNA from 1 species